AUUUCAUAAUAAUAAUUUGUUUCAAAAGUUCAGACUUUCUUUUUCAGUAAAUUAAACAUUUUGGUUCUAUACCAUUUUUGCAGGUUACAAUCCCUGCUGCCAAUUUAUGAGUGGAGGAUCUGGACCUCCACUGCCACAGGAAAAGGAGGAUACUUGGUGUGUGCCUAAGCCAGGAACCCCAGACUCUGCAUUACAGAACAUCAUAAACUUCACUUGUGGAAUAUUAAAAGAAUGCAGUG